GAUGAAGAACGUAGUGAAAUGCGAUAAGUAAUGUGAAUUGCAGAAUUCAGUGAAUCAUCGAAUCUUUGAACGCACAUUGCGCCCCCCAGUAUUCUGGCGGGCAUGCCUAUUCGAGCGUCAUUUCAACCAUCAAGCCCUGCUUGUGUUGGGGUCCUGCGGCUGCCCGCAGGCCCUGAAAACCAGUGGCGGGCUCGCUAGUCACACCGAGCGCAGUAGCACAUCUCGCUCAGGGCGUGCGGCGGGCUCCAGCCGUUAAAGCACCCACCUUUCGCAAGGUUGACCUCGGAUCAGGUAGGAAUACCCGCUGAACUUAAGCAUAUCAAUAAGCGGAGGA
rnacentral:misc_RNA from 1 species